rfam:Vibrio sp. JCM 19231 DNA, contig00090.
UGAUCCUUUUAAGCCAAGGAUCACCUAGCCAACUGACGUUGUUAGUGAACGUAGUUUUUGUUCACAAGAAUACAGGCCAGCCCAUCUUUAUUAAGGGCUGGCUUUUUUUUA